rnacentral:rRNA from 1 species
GCUAUCGGAUUGAUACUAAGCCAUGCGAGUCAUUGCAGUAAUGCAAGGCAGACGGCUCAGUAACGCGUAGUCAACCUACCCUAUGGACGGGAAUAACCUCGGGAAACUGAGUAUAAUGCCCGAUAGAACACUAUUCCUGGAACGGUUUGUGUUCCAAAUGGUUUAUCGCCGUAGGAUGGGACUGCGGCCUAUCAGUUUGUUGGUGAGGUAAUGGCCCACCAAGACUAUUACAGGUACGGGCUCUGAGAGGAGUAGCCCGGAGAUGGGUACUGAGACACGGACCCAGGCCCUAUGGGGCGCAGCAGGCGAGAAAACUUUGCAAUGUGCGAAAGCACGACAAGGUUAAUCCGAGUGGUUUGUGCUAAACGAACCUUUUGACAGUCCUAGAAACACUGUUGAAUAAGGGGUGGGCAAGUUCUGGUGUCAGCCGCCGCGGUAAAACCAGCACCUCAAGUGGUCAGGAUGAUUAUUGGGCCUAAAGCAUCCGUAGCCGGCUCUGUAAGUUUUCGGUUAAAUCUGUACGCUCAACGUACAGGCUGCCGGGAAUACUGCAGAGCUAGGGAGUGGGAGAGGUAGACGGUACUCGGUAGGAAGGGGUAAAAUCCUUUGAUCUAUUGAUGACCACCUGUGGCGAAGGCGGUCUACCAGAACACGUCCGACGGUGAGGGAUGAAAGCUGGGGGAGCAAACCGGAUUAGAUACCCGGGUAGUCCCAGCUGUAAACUAUGCAAACUCAGUGAUGCAUUGGCUUGUGGCCAAUGCAGUGCUGCAGGGAAGCCGUUAAGUUUGCCGCCUGGGAAGUACAUACGCAAGUAUGAAACUUAAAGGAAUUGGCGGGGGAGCACCAC